AGCCCACCGGUGCGGUGAGGGGGGCUGGCACCACCGUGGGAGUGGCCCUCACACACCCCCAGAGGCCAGAGUCCAGCUCCAAGACAGAGCAGGGUCUAGCCAACCAGGCGUGCCCAAUAAACAUUUACUGAAUAAGCACAAGAAUGAGCUGACGAAGUAACUGAUCCCGAGCUCCAGGGGAGUGUUGCCCUCAGCUCUGCCACCAUGAGGACCUGCUUUCUCUGAUGCCAGCGUCCUGUCAACUGCUGGGGAGUCAAGUCCAGGGUGCCCAGCCCUCCCCCCAAAAAAGGGCCAUCUCCCAUCCUCUGCAGGAAUGCCAGGGGAAGAGAAAUUAGACUAGCUCAUCGCCCACCAUUCCUGACCAGCCGCUGGCAGACACCGUUCCCAGGUGCAGCUUGAGGGCUUUAGGUGAGAAGGCUGGAAGAACUUCCAGAAGGAGUCAGGUCGCAGGCCUGGAGAGUGCAGCUCCUGCCCCUCCCCACUGCAGGAGGGCCAGCAUGGGGUGGCACAGGGAUACGGGGAGGCUUGCCCUGCCGUGCCCCUGCUCGAGAACCUGCCAGGGCUCCCUCCUGGCAGUGCUGUCUGAUGCCCAGGCUGGAGUCGUCCCCUGGCAGACUCUCCCCCCAGUGCAUGCAAAUCCUGCUCCUCUCUCCGGGGCCAUGUCCCAUCUGUGGAAGGAAGGCCCUCGCACCCUCUGCUCUUGCUUUCCUCAUUCAUUCGUUUAUUCCCUUAACAGCUACCACGUCCUAAGCCAGAUGGAUGCUAGGAUGCUGAGAACAAAGGACGCAGGCCUUGCCCUCAAGUGGCCCGCAGCCCAGUGAGAGGUAUCCUGAGUGGCUGGUGUCAAGGGCUGCUCUGAAGUGAGCUAGGUGCAGAGGGGACAGGGGGAAAAGGGUGUGUCUUGGCAGAAUGUUGCAGGGUAUCAUGGAAAGCUUCCUGGAGGAGAAGGCGAGCUAAACUCCUGGAAGAUACACAGAUUCCUCCAAGCGCAGAAGGGGAGCCUCCAGGCGCUUCCAGCACUGCCCCCUGCUGGCUGUCCACACACCUGUGGCUCUCACAGUCAGACCUGGGAGAUACGGGUUCCAAUCCUGACUCUUCUAUUUACCCUCAAGUUAGUCUACUUCCUGGACCUGUUUCCUUAUCUGUAAAAUGGGGAUCAGGGUCCCGCCGUGCAGAGCUCCUUGUGAUCCAUCCUUGGCCCUCUGUCCUCGGCGGGAGACAAAGCCCCCUACCCCAGCACCCAGAACUGGCUGGUUAAACCUAAUAGGUGCCCGGUAGAUACUGACUGGUAGAUGGACCAACGACUUGGCGUUUUCUUACUGAGCUUCCUUCCCCGGGAGCAACAAACCCCAACAGGGAGCACUAGCUUCCACUCACCCAGGACUCUGGAAAUGUACUCCCACCCCGGAUCACCGCUGCCUGCACACCUGACCAGAUGCGUGACGGCACAAGCUGUGUCCUGCCCUUGCCCGGGGCCCCACAGGAGCAUGACAAAUACUUUGUGGAGUUAAGUGCUCCAGUAACGAAGCUCCUCCCAGGGACCCAGGACUGGAGAGACAGGUCCUCAGACCCCUCCAUCAUCCCCGUCAAGCCAACUCAAGACUUUUUGCUGAUGCCAGCCCUUCAAGUGCCUGAAUGUGGGACCUUCCUUCAUCCUGCCAUCCUGGACUUCAAACUCAGUAGGAAGAUCCCCUCUGAACUCUGCCACCGUGAAGACCUGCUUUCCCUGACACCAGCCAUCCGGUCAGCAGCUGGGAAGCCAAACCCAAGGUGUCCUCCCCCCCAAAAAAAAACACGGGUGUCUCCUAUCCUCUGCAGGACUGCCAGGGGAAGAGAAAUGAGAUGAGUCUGUGGCACAGAGGACAGAAACAGGCCCACUGUGGACAAAAUAAAGGA